rnacentral:lncRNA from 10 species
GGCAGUGUGUGAUAGUUUUCAAUGUGUGACUGUCACACAAGGGGGUGUGUGUGUGUGUGUGUGUGUGUGUGUGUGUGAAAGAGAGAGAGAGGAGGGAGAGAGAAAGAAGAAAUAAUUCCAAGUAUGGGCAAACACAGCUCAUUGGAUUCUCAGAACUUGUUAGAGCUGGAGUCUACAAUGUAGAGGAAGAAAUGGUCUAGUAUGAAGUGAAGCUGGAGAAAGGCAGUGGAAAAUCUCCACCGAAGUGCAAAUCGCAGCCACCAAAACCAGACCUACUGAAUCAAAAUAUAGAGGUAGGUCCUGGGGAUCUACAUUUGUAACAAGUUUCCUAUGUGCUUCUUACACUCACUCAAGUUGAGAUGCCAUCCACGGCAGAUGGUGGGGAAACUCUGAGGGCGUUUCCUCUUCCUUCCGUUCUUAAUCAUUAUUCUUACCAUUGAUUAGCCCCACCCAGUGGACUGAGGGGCUUAGAUCAUGGCUCAGUCUCACUUAGCCAUGACAGUGAUGUGGGCAAGAGGGGAGGACAUACCACCAUCUAUGAAAGGUAAUAGCCACCGCUAUUGACACAUCUGGCCAUUUGCUCUUUAGGCCUUAAUGAUUGACAUGAUCUUGGAAAACAGGUAUGUAGCAAAACUCUCCUAGAAACCUGAAAGAUGUGGCAAGAAGAAAACAUGGAGCCUUUUCUGAACAAGCCUAUGAGAGAAGAAGAAUCACUUCAAUUUAUUAAGUGUGGAUUCUGGGGCUAAAGAACUUACCUACAACCACACAGCCAGCAAAUUACUGACCCAGCAUAUUCUGAACCCAGGUCUUUAUUCUUUCCAAAACUUCACAGCACCUUCCUCAGAGCAUCUCUACAUGAAAAUCUGUAUAAAGAAGUGAUCUGUGGUGUCGCCAUUUGUAUCAAAAUGGUAUCACAAACUUAUUUAAAAGGCUUCAUCUAAAAGUCUUCAGAGUUUUGGCCAGGGAAGAGCUCUAAUAUCACACAUUAAUAACCUUACCUUUGUAACAUGUAAAUUGUUUUUUGUUUUAACAUCUCAGUUUCAUUAAACUGAGACCAGAAAGAGCCAUCAUCUUUUUACCAAUUUGUAAUCAUUUUAUUGUGUUAUGGACCUGCAGCAAUGCUGACUAUAUUUACAAAUCUGUGAGUGAAAUUUUAAAACCAUUUUCCUCUUCUAAUCUCUCCCAUCCUGCCUUCUUAGAAGCACACAAAGCAUCUCAACCACUCCCAAAUUCCCUGUUGGAAUACCCUUAAUGAUUCUGAAAUAUUUUGUUAUUCCCCAAACACCUCCCUAAGACGAAUCACUGGACUCCAGGCUCUUCACAUUGCCAAGUUGAAUCGAGUUCAAAUGUUCUAUCUAACCAAACUCUAACUUACAACAAAGCCACAUAUAGUAGAUGAUGUGUAAGAUAUUCCGAAAAUACCAAGGCAACAGGGAAAAAAAAUCUGUGUCAUCAAGAGGUCCUCCCAGAACUUCUUGUAAUCUAGAAUAAUCAAUUUUGUCAAGCUCCUGUAACCUAAUCAUAGCACACAUGUGUAUAUAUGUAUAACUAAUAACAUAAAUCAACUUUCAUUUUAAUAAUGUAUAGCUUAAGUUUUCUCACAUCCAAAACAAUUAGUGUUGCCAAAUUUAAGAUUAUUUCUCUACUUUAGACAUCAGAACAUGCACAAGGACUUGAGGAAUAAACAAAUCCAAGAAAACAAUCUUAGCCUGAUAAAGUAAAAAUUUUGAAUAAAUUCAUAAAUCAUUUAAAACACAAUCUUGUUAAAUUAGCUAUUUCAUAGUAUGUUAUGAAUGUAAAAGCAGAACACAGAAAAGGCAUUUUCCAAAAAGAUAUAGGACUUAGUAGGAUUUCCUUUUAUGUUAAAAAAUGGCCCAUGGAAGAGCAGUUUUCAGAAUGACCAGGGCAUAGUCAGACACCUCUUUCAUUGGAAGCUUCACCAAAGGGCACACUUCUCCUGAACUCAGAGUUUUGAGUCCAGACCCAGCUCUUGCCAAAGUUCACUGGGAGUUUUGCUAAGCUUCAAGAUGAUCCCACCUGAAAGCUCUUUGGAGACAAAGUUAAGUUCUUGGCACAGGAGAAGAGAAAGUGAGACACAACCUUGUUCCUCCAGAAGUUCACAGAAGAACAAAGGAGACAGUGAUAGAAAUGAUACAUAUGCAAGGCAGCAUUUGGAAAAAUAGAGGACUAUCCGCAGUACGGUGAGAACAAGAAAGAAGAGGUGAGCCCUCUGCCUGGGCGGAUCAGGAAGGUUCCACAAAGAGACAUUCCACUGAGGCCUAAAGAAUGAGGAAGCAUGCACCAGGCAGAUGAGUGGAGAAGGGUGUUCCUGGUAUGUGGUUGUCAGGUUGCCAGACCAACACCCAAGUGUCAAUUUAACCCCAACUGUAGCUCCGCCAGUGCUGCAGGCUUAUGUCAGAAACAGAAAUGGGAUAGGUUUUUGUAGGCCAGCCUGGGAAUACUUGUUUCUGUUGGGAGAUUAGCUCUAAAACCCUCAAUAAAAGAGAGUUGGCCCUGGGCUUAUGCCAACACAUAUGUACCCACUGCCACUACCACCACUCAUCACCUUGGGCAAACAAGAAAAGCAGUUCAGUGUCAGGAGGAACAAUUCUUGCACUUUCACUUUCUUUCACUAACUGAUCUUGUGAAUGCAAGGUCAUGAGUAAGGCCUUUUGGGGACUGCACAUACAAGACAGGUCCACACUCCAAGGAGCUUAACAACAGGCUAUGCUAGGCCAGGUGCAGUGGCUCACACUUGUAAUCCCAGCACUUUGGGAGGCCGAGGCGGGUGGAUCACGAGGUCAGGAGUUUGAGAGCAGCUCGGCCAACAUAGUGAAACCCCAUCUCUACUAAAAAUCCAAAAAUUAGCCAGAUGUGGUGGCACACACCUGUAGGCCCAGCUACUCAGGAGGCUGAGGUGGGAGAACCACUUGAACCCAGGAGGCAGAGGUUGCAGAGAGCUGAGAUCAUGCCAUUGCACUCCAGCUUGGGUGUCAGAGUGAGACUCUUUUUAAAACAAACAAACAAACAAACAAAACAGGCAACAGGCUAUGCAGGCAAGACCCGUGCAUAUAAAAUAACUGAGAGUCCAAGGCAGUAGCUGCCAAAAUAAUGACACAUUCUAUAAGCACUACUGUCCUAGCCAUCACUGCUUUCUGGAGAGAAUAAUUCAAUUUAGUUGAAAAAGUGUUUUACAUUAAAUGCCCACUAAAAGUCUGUUGAUUAUGUAAGACUGCAUUCUGAAUUUCACAAGGCAGGAUCCACCAAGUUCCAUAAAUGUAAAUAAGUUUUCCUCCCAAAAGUAACAGGUUAAGUCAACUCUGGAAAGACUAUGGGGAGUUUAAUUAAUAGGAAUUCUGGUUUACUCAAUACAAGAAACACAUCAAACUGAAUAGGUAUGAAAAAGCAUUUCCCACCAGUUGAAGCUGUCUGAAUUAAAAUGAACCGCCUUGGGAGGUAAUAAGUUUCCCGUCAAGCUAGAUAAUUACUUGGCAGUGAUUUGGUAGGGGUGAUGCAAGCAUUCAAUGACCAGUAGGCUCCCUUCCAGUCCUGUGAUUGUGUGAAUUUCUGCAGCUCCCCCUUGAUAACACAAUAAAACCUGGGAACCCACACUGCAAGGUUUUCAAUGUUGAAGAUUAGCCAUGGGUUAGGCUUAUUCAGGGUACCAGAGCCUAUUCUGAAUGGUGGUGAGGAAACAGAGAAUGGGAAGGUCGAACUUCUACCAAGAACCUGACCAAACUCCCAGGGUGCUAGUCAGUAUCUGGGGAGAGCUUCAGAAUGCCAAAACUCAUUAGUGCUCAAAAAAGGUCAUAGUUAUUAGACAAGGGCACUCCAUUAUGAAGUCCUAACUAAAGAACUAAAAAAAAAAGCCCCUUGAAGACAAGAUGUGUAGGAUUCUAGAGUAUUUUGAAAGGCUCUUCCAAUGCUGACCCCUGAGGGUCCCUCAUGAAUGUUAGCACAUCCAGAUUCUUGGGAAACUCCAAGCAAAGCUGUUGUCAAAGAUGUGCCCAAGAAGAGUGCCUCCAAAAGUAAACAAGCAGGAGAUAGACAAGACAGUUAUACAGGUCUCCUGAGUAAAGUAUACAGGACUGAGAUGGUGAAUGCAGAAGAGGAGUAACAGCCUGAGGGGACCCGGACAACCAAGAAACUGGUUGUUUAAAAUCCUGGCAUCUUGUAAAUUUGUUUGAGUUCAUUGUUGAUUCUGGAUAUUAGCCCUUUGUCAGAUGAGUAGAUGGCAAAAAUU